rnacentral:tRNA from 1 species
GGUUAUGGCUCAGUGGUUGAGUGCUCGCCUCGCAUGUGCAAGGCCCUGGAUUCGAUCCUCAGCACCA